rnacentral:rRNA from 1 species
UACGUAGGGUGCAAGCGUUAAUCGGAAUUACUGGGCGUAAAGCGUGCGCAGGCGGUUUUGUAAGUCUGACGUGAAAUCCCCGGGCUCAACCUGGGAAUUGCGUUGGAGACUGCAAGGCUAGAAUCUGGCAGAGGGGGGUAGAAUUCCACGUGUAGCAGUGAAAUGCGUAGAGAUGUGGAGGAACACCGAUGGCGAAGGCAGCCCCCCUGGGUCAAGAUUGACGCUCAUGCACGAAAGGCGUGGG